UGUGUGGACUGCGAAGUGUUCGCUGGUUGGAACCGGUGACAGCAGUGGUGUUGGUGAUGAAGGGGCAGGUGUUACAGCGAGAUCUGGAGCACGGGAAGGAUCCGUGUGGGGCUGAGGGGGAAGAAGAGAGGGUUCUACGGACCAGGGGAUCG